AUGGGGAGCCCCUCAGGCCCCUACUCCCUCUGUGCCCCCAGAAAAGACGCCAGGGAGGGAAUCUUUACCCCAGUUGUGGGGCAGAAGGUGAGAAAGAGCAAAAAACUAGUCCUUUGGGUGCAAGACCUCCCCCCCACAGCCCCCAUUGAGGCAUCUUCACACACCCAAAUUGGCCUCUUCCAUACCAGACUUUCUUCUCCCCCCUUCCCUGUCCUUGUAUAUAUGGAGCCGACUCUCCCUCCAGCACUUGUGGGUCAGAAAUGCUGUCACAGACAGCCCCUCUGCAGCCACCCCCAAAGGGCCUUCGGGGUGUGUGUGUCUCCAUCCCCAUUUGCACUCUUGGGAGGGUCUGAUCUUCUCACCCCCAUCUUGGCUGCAAUUUCUGGCAACCCUGAAAGAGGAAAAGCAGACCUCUCUCUUCUGCUCCACUGCCUCAUGAAGAUAGUAUUUGGGGUGUGGGUGUGCCUGAGGUUUGGGGGAAUCCUUGGGGGGAAGGGAGAGCUCUUUGCCCUCUUCUUGCUCAGUUUGGGGAGGAUCCAGAGAACAAGGAGGAUCCCCCCCUGCUCUCCCCUCCCCACCCGCUUCCACAUAGAUGAGGGGCAGCAAUCUUACAAGAGCCUUGAUCCCCCUUUUUCCUCCAUUAACUCAGGACCACCUACUUGGAGGAAGGAAAACCCACACCUUCUGGAGCUGCUGCUUGGAAAAGGGGCUCCAUCUUGCCCAAGACGAGAAGGGCAGAGGGUUUGGGGGAAAGUGGGGAGGAGCACAGACACACAUCAAGGCAUCCAUAUGAAUGGCAGAGAAAAUGUGAAAUGUCAUAGAAAACCUCCCCCUAUGACAGUGUUUCCCAAAGUGUGCACCAUGGUGCUAUGGGACACCAGGAAGUCCACUUGGGGUCACCACUGCAUCCUCUGGUCCCUCCCUCUCUCUUCUCCCCACUCCCCACUCAUGUUUUAGGAUACAAAAUGUCCUAAAACAGAAUUUGCACAUUCUCUGUUGCCUGGGGUCCCUGGGGCCCAGGACUGGGUGGUCCUGCCUUCCUGUUUGCAAGUGGAGAAUUUCCUGCCCACCCCCAGCCCCGCAAAAAGGGCAGCUUCUCCGGAUUUUCCUCUCCAGCAGCUGCUUCUCUGGGAGAAGUCAGGCUACAAUACAGUGGAGUCUCGACUUACGAACGGCUCCACUUACAUACUUUUCGACCUCCGUACUUUUCCGGCCGCAAAGUUUCUCUUCGACUUGCAGCCGGGGAAUCAACCUAGAGACUGAAAAGGGAAAAAAAAGCAGGGAGGUGGCGAAAUUGGAAAAUUUGAACUGCUUUCAGUUGUCCGUUGGCCAAGGAAGAGAGUACCGUAGUCUGCUUCCUUGCUUGCCCAGCAGUUAGAGAGAGUCUUCAACGAGUCUGCCUGGUGCUGCCUGGUACCGGGCUGUUUUUUUUUUCCUGGGAGUGUGUGUUAAUUUUGAUUUUUUGAUUUUUGACUGUCUUUUUUUAAGCAGAAAGGCUGCCUGUUCUGGGUGAGUACUAUUCUGUGCUGUACAUUUACUGGGUUUUUUGCAGCUUGGUUGGGAGGGGUUAGGGCUAGGUGGGGGGUUACAGUAUGUUUCCGUGCUCUGAUGGGUCUUGCAGUGUAGAUUUAAAAUGUGAAAAGUAGACUGUAAUAUUAAAUUGAAAUUAAAUGUGAAAAUUAGACUGUACAGUGAUUUUUAAAUGUUAAAUUUACUGUACUUUAUUUUUGCAUUCUGUGCCUUCUAGGGUUUGUGUAUGAAACCUCUCUUGUUUUAAAAUGUGUGGGUUUUAAAUGUACUAUACAGAAAAUUUUCUGUGAGGGCGGAUGGCAUGGUGUAAAAUGGAGUUUUUUUUCUUUAAAUCAGAAAAUUUUCUGUGAGGGUCUGUGCUGGAUGGCAUGCUGUAAAAGGGGCCUGUGGUGGUUGUAGAUGCAGGCAGCCGGGCUUUAGAAUGGCU
ensembl:lncRNA